rnacentral:rRNA from 1 species
UACGUAGGGGGCGAGCGUUGUCCGGAGUUACUGGGCGUAAAGGGCAUGCAGGCGGUCCGUCACGUUUUGUGUGACAGCGGGUGGCUUAACUACCCGAGGAUACGAAAGACGGUUGGACUUGAGGACUCGAGAGGGACACGGAAUUCCGGGUGGAGUGGUGAAAUGCGUAGAGAUCCGGAGGAACACCGAAGGCGAAGGCAGUGUCCUGGCGAGUGACUGACGCUGAGGUGCGAAAGCCAGGGGAGCGAACGGG